GACAGAGGGUGCAAACGUUGCUCGGAAUCACUGGGCGUAAGGGGCGUGUAGGCGGGCAGAUAAGUCGGGCGUGAAAUCCCCAGGCUCAACCUGGGAACUGCACUCGAAACUGUUUGUCUUGAGUAUCGGAGAGGAAAGCGGAAUACCUGGUGUAGAGGUGAAAUUCGUAGAUAUCAGGUGGAACACCAGUGGCGAAGGCGGCUUUCUGGACGAUAACUGACGCUGAGGUGCGAAAGCGUGGGGAGCAAACAGG
rnacentral:rRNA from 1 species